rfam:Trichobilharzia regenti genome assembly, scaffold: TRE_scaffold0066565
GUACUGAUGAAGAGUCCCAAACUAGGACGAGACAGCUGUCCAGUAC